CGUGGGGUAUCUGUGUUACCGUACCCUCCUAUUGUUCUCUCUUGCCUGACCUUCAGCAAGCGAGGUGCCUGAGAGCUGUGAUUGCGCCAAGGGCUAAAAUAUUGUGCAUUGUCUCUUCGUGCGAAGGACAAAGAAAAAUCCAACAAGCAGACCUUCAGUUGUCGCAGUGUCCUCAUUAAAUUACACAAUGCAGAACGAACCACGCUAUAAACUGGUGCCGCGACCUGCCGUCUAUCGGAUCUGUGCAUGUGGAGGAGGUGCGCGACCUGCCGCCUAUCGGAGCUGUGCAUGUGGAGGAGGUGCGCGAUCUGCGCAUGCGCUCUUGUUAAUGGUUUGCUAUAAGUGAAUAUAUACUGUAAAUAGUGAAGGUGAAUGUAGCAUAUUCACUAGAUAAGGGUAUUUGUGUUUAUUUGUAUGUUUUGGAGGAAUUUGUUUAUUGCAUUUUUUUGGUAUUUAAAUGCAGUAAAUUACAUUGUAUUUUAGUGCUCUGUUGAGCCAUGGAAGACUCUCAAGUCCAUAAAAUGAGCUAUGCUGGGGAUUUUAGUGUGGGUAGAGGGAGGGGUGCCCUUGCAUUUACACCAUUUGUACAGUCAGCUCCUGGGAGUAGAGUGUUUCCUAGUCCUUUAAAAGCACUGGGAGGGGUAGGCUGUUUACUCCACCUGAGCAGGGUAUCCCACCUCUAUCUUUUGAUGUACCAUCAUCCCCAGUCCUCAGUAAUAAUGGGACACCUCUGAAUCAGUUUAGUGACCUUAUUAAGCAUAUAGAUUCUCCUAUCUCUGAACCAAUCAGAGCAAGUUUACUGCAGCCUGGGGCUUCAAGUCUUUCUCCUGCCCGUCCCCCUCACCUACCCCAGCAGUUUCCCCUGUCUGAUCAAUGUGGUUCAACUUUUAUUGAUGCGUCCAAGCUGAAUCUGGUUGUGAAGUCAGAUGUUAGUCCUCCACCUUUCUUUAGGGGCGAUGGCUCAGAUAAGUACUCUGUCCUGGAGUGGGUGGAGCUAAUGGAAGUCUACCUAAAGAAGAGGGGUUACACUGGGUCUGAGAAUGUUGGGGAGGUGAUGUCUAGGCUCAUGGGGAGGGCACGGGAUGUGACCAAAGUCUGGAUGCGUAACAGCCCUGUUGUCACAGAUGUUAGGGCAGUGUUCAGUGUUCUCAAGCAACACUUUGGGGAUACUGUCUGCUCAGGUAUGCCAUUAGCUGAUUUCUAUUCAAUCAAACCAUAUGCUAAUGAGGGUCCACUAGAUUUCUGGAUUAGGCUUAACAAAGCUGCAGAGGCAGCUGAACAGCACCUUGUAAGAAAGGGUAGGACCUUGCCCAAUAAGUGCUCAGAGUUGGCAGUCAUGUUUGUACGCAACUGUCCUGAUAAAGAGUUGGCCCAAGUGUUCAAAAGCAAACCACUUUAUGACUGGACAGCGAGUGAGGUACAGGAUCGUUUGGAUGAACUGUUAAGGGAGUGUAAAGCAAGUAGAACACAACUUUCACAGCAGGUGGCUGCCGUCUUUGACUCCCCCCAGGAGGAAGUGGGUCCUGUGAACAGACCUAAGGUGUCAUCCUUUUCUCCAUGUGGCCGUGAACCAGAACAGGCCCCACCUUUAUCUAAGAGUGGGAUAUUAGAGAAAGUGUUGAGUAUGUUAGAGAAGGCACUUGUCAGUAAUACUCAGUCUGUGAACAGAGGGCCCCAUAAACAGUUCCCCAAACGCCAGCGUGAGUGUGCUGUCUGUGGAAGCACUAAUCACAGGACCAAAGCUCACUGUCAGAUGCACCAGCUGUGCUUCAAGUGCUUCUCUCCUGGCCACAUGAGCUUUGACUGUAGUGAGACUGGGCAACAACAGAGCCCUGGAUGUGGACAGACCGGCAGGUAUCAGGAAAACUAGAAAACCUCCAUUCUGAGGAGGGCAAUGUGGGGCAGUCUAAUUUUUCCUCCAGUGAUGAUGAUAUCCAAUCUGUUUAUUCUUAUUUUUGUCAGUACCCAAGAACAACACAGUCAUUUUUCAGAACACAGUGAGAAUUACUCAGAAUGACAGUUUGUUUUACACCUCUGUGCUAGUACAGGAUAAAGUUGAGCUGAAGGGGAUGUUAGAUAGUGGGUCCAUGGCUACUACUCUGCGCGCAGAUAUUGUACCUCGGUUGAGGGAGGCAGGAGUGGUAGAGGGGAACUUUCUAGCUCCUUCAGACAUCAUCCUGGUGGGUUGUGGUGGGAAGCAAACUAGCCCAGUGGGCAUGUGUGACUUAAACAUUCAGCUUUAUGGGUUCAGUUAUGUGGUCCCAGUGCUUAUUUUAGAUGGGCAGGUUGAUGAGUACAACCAAAUUAUGUUGUAUAUCAUUUUACUUGUAUUGUAUUGUGUGCUGUUGUGCACUGAAUGUGUGCACGCAGCACCUCUUAUUUCCUUUUGGUCGCUCUCUUGCCUGACCUUCAGCUAGCGAGAUGCCUGAGAGCUGUGACUGCUCCAAGGGCUAACAUAUUGUGUGUUUUCUCUUCGUGCGCAGGGCAAAGAAAAAUCCAACAAGCAGACCUUCAGUUGUGUCAGUGUCCUCAUUAAAUUACAAAACGCAGAACGCUACACUAACAUAAUUGCAAAAGGGUUUUCUAAUAACCAAUUAGCCUUUUAAAAUGAUUAACUUGGAUUAGCUAACACAACAUGCCAUUGGAACACAGGAGUGAUUGUUGCUGAUAAUCGGCCUCUACGCCUAUGUAGAUAUUCCAUAAAAAAUCAUCUGUUUCCAGCUACAAUAGUAAUUUACAACAUUAACAAUGUCUACACUGUAUUUUUGAUCAAUUUAAUGUUAUUUUAAUGGACAAAAAAUAUGCUUUUCUUUCAAAAACAAGGACACUUGUAAGUGACCCCAAACUUUUGAACAGUAGUGUACAUUAUUGCAAAAAUACAAUAAUUCAAACAACAUAUGGCCACUGUUGGUGAAGCCACUGUUAAGAAUGGUGUCCAAUUGAAAAGCCUUUCAAUUUUGUGUUUUCAACUGGGUCUUUAAGAAUAGUCAUGUAUGUUUUUCAUAUUAUUGGACAUUAUGUUCUAUACAGUCCCUUGCUUUAUCCCACUGCAGGUUUGGGGUCAAUUCCAUUUAAAUUCCAGUCAAUUCAGAAAGUGAACCAAAUUCCAAUUACACAUUUUCCUCAUUGAAAAGCAUUGAAGAGAAUUGGAAUUUCAGUGUACUUCCUGAAUUGUUUCCAACCCUGUCCCACUGUCCUGCAGCAACUGGUUCGACAUUAAGUGGAAGAGAAAAAUGUUCUUCCCUCAUCAUUAGCUAUGCGAGCUCCAAGGUUAAUGAAAUAUUUACAAUAAAUAGAUCAGCAAACACAGGU